AACGAACGCUGGCGGCAUGCCUAACACAUGCAAGUCGAACGAGACCUUCGGGUCUAGUGGCGCACGGGUGCGUAACGCGUGGGAACCUGCCCUUAGGUUCGGAAUAACUCCCCGAAAGGGGUGCUAAUACCGGAUAAUGUCUUCGGACCAAAGAUUUAUCGCCUUUGGAUGGGCCCGCGUUGGAUUAGCUAGUUGGUAGGGUAAAAGCCUACCAAGGCGACGAUCCAUAGCUGGUCUGAGAGGAUGAUCAGCCACACUGGGACUGAGACACGGCCCAGACGAAUACGGGAGGGAGCAGUGGGGGAUAUUGCAGGAUGGGAGGAAGACUGAUGCAGCAAAGCCGCGUGCGGGAUGACGGGAUUCGGGUUGUAAGCCGCUUUCGACGGUGACGAAGCGUGGGGGAGGGUAAUGGGUCAAGAAGCAAAGGAUAAGUACGGG
rnacentral:rRNA from 1 species